UAAUACGGAGGAUCCGAGCGUUAUCCGGAUUUACUGGGUUUAAAGGGUGCGUAGGCGGCUCCCUCAGUCAGCGGUGAAAUGUAUCGGCUCAACCGAUAACCUGCCGUUGAUACUGGGGAGCUUGAGUUGGGUUGAGGCAGGCGGAAUGUGCGGUGUAGCGGUGAAAUGCUUAGAUAUCGCACAGAACGCCGAUUGCGUAGGCAGCUUGCCAAGCCCACACUGACGCUGAGGCACGAAAGCGUGGGGAUCAAACAGGAUUAGAUACCCUGGUAGUCCACGCAGUAAACGAUGAAUACUAGCUGUAUGCGAUAUACUGUAUGUGGCACAGCGAAAGCGUUAAGUAUUCCACCUGGGGAGUACGUUCGCAAGAAUGAAACUCAAAGGAAUUGACGG
rnacentral:rRNA from 1 species